rnacentral:rRNA from 1 species
UAACGCGUGAGUAACCUGCCUCUAAGAGGGGAAUAACAUUCUGAAAAGAAUGCUAAUACCGCAUAACAUAUAUUUAUCGCAUGGUAGAUAUAUCAAAGAUUUAUCGCUUAGAGAUGGACUCGCGUCCGGUUAGUUAGUUGGUGAGGUAACGGCUCACCAAGACCGCGAUCGGUAGCCGGACUGAGAGGUUGAACGGCCACAUUGGGACUGAGACACGGCCCAG